rnacentral:rRNA from 1 species
AUUGAACGCUGGCGGCAGGCUUAACACAUGCAAGUCGAGCGGGGUGAUGGUGCUUGCACUAUCACUUAGCGGCGGACGGGUGAGUAAUGCUUAGGAAUCUGCCUAUUAGUGGGGGACAGCAUCUCGAAAGGGAUGCUAAUACCGCAUACGUCCUACGGGAGAAAGCAGGGGAUCACUUGUGACCUUGCGCUAAUAGAUGAGCCUAAGUCGGAUUAGCUAGUUGGUGGGGUAAAGGCCUACCAAGGCGACGAUCUGUAGCGGGUCUGAGAGGAUGAUCCGCCACACUGGGACUGAGACACGGCCCAGACUCCUACGGGAGGCAGCAGUGGGGAAUAUUGGACAAUGGGGGGAACCCUGAUCCAGCCAUGCCGCGUGUGUGAGGAAGGCCUUAUGGUUGUAAAGCACUUUAAGCGAGGAGGAGGCUCUUUUGGUUAAUACCCAAGAUGAGUGGACGUUACUCGCAGAAUAAGCACCGGCUAACUCUGUGCCAGCAGCCGCAGUAA